CAGGCUUAACACAUGCAAGUCGAGCGGAGAUGAGGUGCUUGCACCUUAUCUUAGCGGCGGACGGGUGAGCAAUGCGUUAGGAAUCUGCCUAUUAGUGGGGGACAACAUUCCGAAAGGGAUGCUAAUACCGCAUACGUCCUACGGGGAGAAAGCAAGGGAUCUUCGGACCUUGCGCUAAUAGAUGAGCCUAAGUCGGAUUAGCUAGUUGGUGGGGUAAAGGCCUACCAAGGCGACGAUCUGUAGCGGGUCUGAGAAGAUGAUCCGCCACACGUGGGACUGAGACACGGCCCAGACUCCUACGGGAGGCAGCAGUGGGAAUAGUUGGACAUGGGGGAACCCUGAUCCAGCCAUGCCGCGUGUGUGAAGAAGGCCUUAUGGUUGUAAAGCACUUUAAGCGAGGAGGAGGCUACUGAGACUAAUACUCUUGGAUAGUGGACGUUACUCGCAGAAUAAGCACCGGCUAACUCUGUG
rnacentral:rRNA from 1 species